rnacentral:rRNA from 1 species
AGUGAACGCUGGCGGUAGGCCUAACACAUGCAAGUCGAACGGCAGCACAGGAGAGCUUGCUCUCUGGGUGGCGAGUGGCGGACGGGUGAGGAAUACAUCGGAAUCUACUUUUUCGUGGGGGAUAACGUAGGGAAACUUACGCUAAUACCGCAUACGACCUACGGGUGAAAGCAGGGGACCUUCGGGCCUUGCGCGAUUGAAUGAGCCGAUGUCGGAUUAGCUAGUUGGCGGGGUAAAGGCCCACCAAGGCGACGAUCCGUAGCUGGUCUGAGAGGAUGAUCAGCCACACUGGAACUGAGACACGGUCCAGACUCCUACGGGAGGCAGCAGUGGGGAAUAUUGGACAAUGGGCGCAAGCCUGAUCCAGCCAUACCGCGUGGGUGAAGAAGGCCUUCGGGUUGUAAAGCCCUUUUGUUGGGAAAGAAAUCCAGCUGGCUAAUACCCGGUUGGGAUGACGGUACCCAAAGAAUAAGCACCGGCUAACUUCGUGCCAGCAGCCGCGGUAAGAC